rnacentral:rRNA from 1 species
AGGAUGAACGCUGGCGGCGUGCCUAAUACAUGCAAGUCGAGCGGUAAGGCCCCUUCGGGGGUACACGAGCGGCGGACGGCUGAGUAACACGUAGGAACGUACCCCAAACUGAGGGAUAAGCACCAGAAAUGGUGUCUAAUACCGCAUGUGGUCUUCGGAUUAAAGCUUCGGCGGUUUGGGAACGGCCUGCGCAUGAUUAGCUUGUUGGUGAGGUAAAAGCUUACCAAGGCGACGAUCAUUAGCUGGUCUGAGAGGAUGAUCAGCCAGACUGGGACUGAGAACGGCCCAGACUCCUACGGGAGGCAGCAGUAGGGAAUUUUCCACAAGUGGGC